GACGAACGCUGGCGGCGUGCUUAACACAUGCAAGUCGAACGGAAAGGCCCUGCUUUUGUGGGGUGCUCGAGUGGCGAACGGGUGAGUAACACGUGAGUAACCUGCCCUUGACUUUGGGAUAACUUCAGGAAACUGGGGCUAAUACCGGAUAGGAGCUCCUGCUGCAUGGUGGGGGUUGGAAAGUUUCGGCGGUUGGGGAUGGACUCGCGGCUUAUCAGCUUGUUGGUGGGGUAGUGGCUUACCAAGGCUUUGACGGGUAGCCGGCCUGAGAGGGUGACCGGCGACAAGGGGACUGAGAUACGGCCCAGACUCCUACGGGAGGCAGCAGGGGGGAAUAUGGCACAAUGGGCGGAAGCCUGAGGCAGAAACGCCGCGGGCGGGAAGACGGCCUUCGGGGUGUAAACCGCUGUCGCCUGUGACGAAGCGGGAGUGACGGUAAUGGGUAAAGAAGCACCGGCUAACUACGUG
rnacentral:rRNA from 1 species